rnacentral:rRNA from 1 species
GACGAACGCUGGCGGCGUGCUUAACACAUGCAAGUCGAACGGAAAGGCCCUGCUUUUGUGGGGUGCUCGAGUGGCGAACGGGUGAGUAGCCCGUGAGUAACCUGCCCUUGACUUUGGGAUAACUUCAGGAAACUGGGGCUAAUACCGGAUAGGAGCUCCUGCUGCAUGGUGGGGGUUGGAAAGUUUCGGCGGUUGGGGAUGGACUCGCGGCUUAUCAGCUUGUUGGUGGGGUAGUGGCUUACCAAGGCUUUGACGGGUAGCCGGCCUGAGAGGGUGACCGGCCACAUUGGGACUGAGAUACGGCCCAGACUCCUACGGGAGGCAGCAGUGGGGAAUAUUGCACAAUGGGCGGAAGCCUGAUGCAGCAACGCCGCGUGCGGGAUGACGGCCUUCGGGUUGUAAACCGCUUUCGCCUGUGACGAAGCGUGAGUGACGGUAAUGGGUGAAGAAGCACCGGCUAACUACGUG